UAAAUAUCUCUAGAUUGUGCUUUUCAAGGA
rnacentral:piRNA from 2 species